GGGGAAUAUUGGACAAUGGGCGCAAGCCUGAUCCAGCAAUGCCGCGUGUGUGAAGAAGGCCUGCGGGUUGUAAAGCACUUUUGUUCGGGAAGAAAUCAUGCUGGUUAAUACCUGGUAUGGAUGACGGUACCGAAAGAAUAAGCACCGGCUAACUUCGUGCCAGCAGCCGCGGUAAUACGAAGGGUGCAAGCGUUAAUCGGAAUUACUGGGCGUAAAGGGUGCGUAGGCGGCCUUUUAAGUCGGAUGUGAAAUCCCCGGGCUCAACCUGGGAAUGGCAUUCGAUACUGGGAGGCUAGAGUUUGGGAGAGGGUGGUGGAAUUCCCGGUGUAGCGGUGAAAUGCGUAGAGAUCGGGAGGAACAUCAGUGGCGAAGGCGGCCACCUGGCCUAAAACUGACGCUGAGGCACGAAAGCGUGGGGAGCAAAC
rnacentral:rRNA from 1 species